GACGAACCGUGCAAACGUUAUUCGGAAUCACUGGCUUAAAGGGCGCGUAGGCGGGCUCGCCAGUCAGGGGUGAAAGCCCACGGCUCAACCGUGGAAGUGCCCUUUGAUACUGCGAGUCUCGAGGGAGGUAGGGGCGUGCGGAACUUCCGGUGGAGCGGUGAAAUGCGUAGAUAUCGGAAGAACAUCGGUGGCGAAAGCGGCGCGCUGGACCUCUUCUGACGCUGAGGCGC
rnacentral:rRNA from 1 species